GACGAACGCUGGCGGCGUGCUUAACACAUGCAAGUCGAACGCUGAAGCUCAGCUUGCUGGGUGGAUGAGUGGCGAACAGGUGAGUAACACGUGAGUAACCUGCCCUCUUCUUUGGGAUAACGCCCGGAAACGGGUGCUAAUACUGGAUAUUCACUGAUUCUCGCAUGGGGGUUGGUGGAAAGGUUUUUUCUGGUGGGGGAUGGGCUCGCGGCCUAUCAGCUUGUUGGUGGGGUGAUGGCCUACCAAGGGUUUGACGGGUAGCCGGCCUGGGAGGGUGACCGGUCACAUUAGGACUGGGCUACGGCCCAGACGGCUACGGGAGGCGGCAGUGGGGAAUAAUGCGCAAUGGGCGAAAGCAUGAUGCAGCGACGAGUCGUGAGGGAUGGAGGACUGCGAGCUGGAGACCUCUUUCGCUCAUGGUCAAGCCGCAGCUUUGGGUUGUGGUGAGGGUAGUGGGUAAAGAAGCGCCGGCUAACUACGUG
rnacentral:rRNA from 1 species